rnacentral:tRNA from 1 species
UCAGGGGAGAAACAAAGUCCCACCAUCAGCACCCAAAGCUGACAUUCUCAUAAUUAAACUAUCCCCUG